GACGUAGGGGGCGAGCGUUGUCCGGAAUUACUGGGCGUAAAGAGCACGUAGGCGGGAUUUUAAGUCAGCUGUGAAAUGUAUCUGCUUAACGGGUACACUGCAGUUGAAACUGGUUUUCUUGAGUGCGUAAGAGGCAGGCGGAAUUCGUUGUGUAGCGGUGAAAUGCUUAGAUAUGACGAGGAACUCCUAUUGCGAAGGCAGCUUGCUGGGUCGUUACUGACGCUGAUGCUCGAAGGUGCGGGGAUCAAACAGGAUUAGAUA
rnacentral:rRNA from 1 species